GGAAUUUUCCGCAAUGGGCGAAAGCCUGACGGAGCAAUCUCGCGUGAGGGAUGACGGCCUAUGGGUUGUAAACCUCUUUUUUCAGGGAGGAAUCAAUGACGUGUACCUGAAGAAUAAGCAUCGGCUAACUCCGUGCCAGCAGCCGCGGUAAGACGGAGGAUGCAAGUGUUAUCCGGAAUCACUGGGCGUAAAGCGUCUGUAGGUGGUUUAAUAAGUCAACUGUUAAAUCUUGAAGCUUAACUUCAAAAUCGCAGUCGAAACUAUUAGACUAGAGUAUAGUAGGGGUAAAGGGAAUUUCCAGUGGAGCGGUGAAAUGCGUAGAGAUUGGAAAGAACACCGAUGGCGAAGGCACUUUACUGGGCUAUUACUAACACUCAGAGACGAAAGCUAGGGUAGCAAAUGGGAUUAGAUACCCCAGUAGUC
rnacentral:rRNA from 1 species